GAUGAACGCUGACAGAAUGCUUAACACAUGCAAGUCUACUUGAAUUUGGGUUUUUUAACUUAGAUUUGGGUGGCGGACGGGUGAGUAACGCGUAAAGAACUUGCCUCACAGCUAGGGACAACAUUUGGAAACGAAUGCUAAUACCUGAUACUAUGAUUAUAAGGCAUCUUAGAAUUAUGAAAGCUAUAUGCGCUGUGAGAGAGCUUUGCGUCCCAUUAGCUAGUUGGAGAGGUAACGGCUCACCAAGGCGAUGAUGGGUAGCCGGCCUGAGAGGGUGAACGGCCACAAGGGGACUGAGACACGGCCCUUACUCCUACGGGAGGCAGCAGUGGGGAAUAUUGGACAAUGGACCAAGAGUCUGAUCCAGCAAUUCUGUGUGCACGAUGACGUUUUUCGGAAUGUAAAGUGCUUCCAGUUGGGAAGAAAAAAAUGACGGUACCAACAGAAGAAGUGACGGCUAAAUACGUG
rnacentral:rRNA from 1 species